AGACCCUAUGUAGGCUGUGUUCUUACACUGACUGCAUAGAAAGAGGAGGCAGAGUAGAGCUUCCCCACAUACACCUCAGCUCAGACCUCGUGCCUGGUCUGUAUUGUGAAUGGGGGGGACAUGG
ensembl:snoRNA